GUGAAAAAGAUUCAAAAAAAGACAAAAACAAAUCCACUAUUGGUUUUACGUCAAGCAAUACGUAGAGUAACUCCCAAUAUAGGAGUAAAAACAAGACGUAAUAAAAAAGGAUCGACGCGGAAAGUUCCGAUUGAAAUAGGAUCUAAACAAGGAAGAGCACUUGCCAUUCGUUGGUUAUUAGAAGCAUCCCAAAAGUGUCCGGGUCGAAAUAUGGCUUUCAAAUUAAGUUCCGAAUUAGUAGAUGCUGCCAAAGGGAGUGGGGGUGCCAUACGCAAAAAGGAAGCGACUCAUAGAAUGGUAGAGGCAAAUAGAGCUCUUGCACAUUUUCGUUAA
rnacentral:rRNA from 1 species